rnacentral:rRNA from 1 species
AUUGAACGCUGGCGGCAGGCCUAACACAUGCAAGUCGGGCGGUAGCACAGAGAGCUUGCUCUCGGGUGACGAGCGGCGGACGGGUGAGUAAUGUCUGGGAAACUGCCUGAUGGAGGGGGAUAACUACUGGAAACGGUAGCUAAUACCGCAUAACGUCGCAAGACCAAAGAGGGGGGACCUUCGGGCCUCUUGCCAUCAGA